rnacentral:sRNA from 1 species
AUCGGACAGGCACAGGCAAAUGGAGGCCGACAUGUUCUUCGAUAAUGUGGUUGUCGCUGGCGUCGUCACGGUCGGAUUGAUGUUCGUCUUCUUCGCUGGCCUGGGCAUUUUCAUCUGGAAGGACUCGCAAAAGCGCAAGCAGUGAUCCUUCCCGAUACAACGAGCACGCAAGGCAUUUAGGGCGACUUCGGUCGCCCAUUUUUUUG